UUUGUGCAAGGUUCUUAUAUUUAAGAAUCUCCUUUGUUUCUCCCGUUAACUGGUGUGACAUUAAUGUUGAUGUAUCCAUUACAUAUAAGGGAUUAUAGCCAAAAAAUACACGAACUUUGAUAAAAGUUGCAAUUUUCACCCGAACUUUCAAAUUGGCCAAAAUAUACCUGAACUUAUAUUUUUUGUUGUAAAUUUCACCUCGACGGAGUUCAAUCAUUGCAAGUUCAGGUGAAAUUUACAAUAAAAAAUAUAAGUUCAGGUAUAUUUUGGCUAAUUUGAAAGUUCAGGUGAAAAUUGCAACUUUUAUCAAAGUUCGCGUAUUUUUUGGCUAUAAUCCCUACAUAUAACUACUACAAAGGCAAAGAUUGAACUUCACAAAUAGACCUUUUCAGAUAAAGAGUAGUUCGAAUAAAGUAAACAAACUUAAAGGAAAUUAAGGUGAAAUAACCUCGAUAUUGCGAUUAUU
rnacentral:lncRNA from 1 species